GGAUUUAACAACUAUUGUCUUCCAUUAUCUUCGAAGGGUCUUUGAACUUGUGCAGAGCUCCUCUGCUGGAUAGAUAAGAGAAUUGGGGUACUCGGUUUCGCCCAUCCUCUUAAAAGUUGAGAAGGCAAAGGUUACUUGACUUCGCCCGCCUCCUCGAGAUUGUACUUCAUGCAUCGAGCUGGUUACUGGCCUUCGCAUGCUCUUUGCUCACACUUCUGAAGUACUUGAAGUGUUUGCACUCCUUGCGUUGAGUUAGCUACUGUGAUUCACCUUCUCAAUGCCAUUGAACUUCUGGAAUGCAGGAAGUUUUCACCCCAACUUGGAGUAAUUCUCUGAUAGAUGAGGUCGCCUUUGGGAUUGUACCGUCUUCUCCAUCAACCCUGCCGCCUACUCCACUGAGUAGCAAAGGUACAGCACCGCGUACUGCUUGCUUCGUUCCUUGGUUGUGCACUCUUGCAUGACCCGAAGUCCUUCACUUACGGCUAUCUUGAUGAGAAACUUGUUGACACCGGUCUUACGAAGUUCUUCGGCCUCUACCCUUCAGCCUUGUCUCGGUACUUGGAGAUUACCUCUGCAUGCUCCACCUCCUCGGCCCCUUUCACGACCAAGCGCUCUCCCUCCAUGAGAGCAAGGGAUCAAUGACUUUCACGGAAGUCCCGCCUCUGCGGUACCAUGGCGCUGCCAUGCCCAUGGCCCUACUAUCCGUUGCCUCGCAUCUGCAUCCCUUUUCUUCACGAUCAGUAGAUAUGUCUCCGUGGCACUCCUCUGAGUCCACCUCCAUUCUAACUGAUCCUUGAUUUUGGGUAGCUAAGUCCCUCUGGACUCGUCGUCGCUUCCUCGCCCCUUUCGACCCCCUGCUUCAACACCUCUGUGUUCUCCAAGCAGUCCGUUUGGUCGAUGGAAAGACAGACUGCAACUCCCAUGCAUGGCCUCUGCCAUCACGUUGCAGGGUUUGCACCAAUUCUGUUCUCCUUAGCUUCCUUGGUAGCAACAUUCGCUUACUCGGCCUUGUCCUCUGACUUGCCGGGCUCCCUUAAGCGAAUAUGAGCUCUGGAGCAGUCCAACUCUCCAGCUGCUUCGAUCAUACCUCUGCAUGAUCAAGUCCCUCCCAUGGGACUCACUGGUACUUGCAUUCGAACUUUUCCCUUAGUGGAACACAGCCCCCAUAUGCUGAUGACCAAGGUUUCCAUCCGAUGCAAAAUUCGAUGCACGCCCGGAAGACCCGCCUCUGCGGUACCAUGGCCUUCACUCCUUGAAUCCAUAGCCCUUCUUGCCGUCGUGUUGUUCACCGAAGUGGAGCUUCCAGUAGCUCCCGAUCAUACCUCCAUAUGAUCUAGUCCCUCCCGGGACAGAUUGUGUAUAUCGCAUUGCCACGAACUGUUCCACCACGAUCCGCUGCACCAUGUCGCCUCCUGGUGAUAUCUCCAUUGCAUUCUGAUCCUUGUGGAAUAAACUCGAAUUGUGAACCCUCCAUGUGUGGCCUCUGCCAAAACAUCGCAGGGUCUCCUCCACCUUCGAUUUUGUUCGCUCCUUUGGCAAUCAACCUUCAUCCACCCACUCUUGGGUCAUACCUAGAUGAAGCACCGCUCUAGGACAGUCCGUCGCCUAGUAGCUCCCGAAGUCCACCGACUUCACUGUAAUUUGUGCACCAUUGUCUGGAUCCUGGGCCUCUGCCCCUACCAGCACAAUCUCUCCCGAAGUCCACCGACUUCACUGUAAUUUGUGCACCAUUGUCUGGAUCCUGGGCCUCUGCCCCUACCAGCACAAUCUCCGUUGCGCACCGCUUCCUUCAUAGCAACUCGAAUAGCAACACUGUGACAUAUUCUUCAAGAGUACCCGCCUCUGCGUCCUCUUGCCCCGUGUUAAGGCCUUCUGAACCCAACUUCGCCUCCGCAAAUUGAGUCGCCUUAGUUCCUCCAUCAAAUGCUUCUCCGAGAUAAGGUGCAUGUGCCCCGAAGCUCCCUUCGUCUUUGGCACCAUACAAGAUGAGUCCGCUCCGUCAGAAUGAAGGACCCAUGGAACAACAUGAUCCUACUAUUGCCUCUGCAAGAGUUCAUGUCCUUGACCUCUGUCUAAGGAAGGCACUGUGCCUCUGCUCCACGUUCCAACAUCUAUGCUGGCUCCCUUCAUGCGGCUUGGGUACUUCGCCAAGUUACACCCAAGUUGCUCCGCUCCUCGUUUUUGCAUUGAGUCGAUGGUGGCCCUCGUGCCCACCAUUCCACGGGUCAGCCCUCCCUUGAGUCCGAUCUCCACAUCGACUCCAAGUGUGCCUUCAUUUAAGUUGCUUUAGGUCGCUCCCCCACUUGAUCUCGCAAUGCAUCCACCAAUGCAUUCUCUCGAGCGAGAUCAUGCGACAACUCCUCGCUGCUUGCUCGGUCCAUUGAGCUUCGUGGAGUUGUUGUUUGUGAGGUACUCCUCCUCAACAUGUGAAGUCCAUCUCACAUGAUUCUCCCUCUGGAGAGCCGAGACUUAUCCCUCCUGGAUAACUGUCCCGUUGGAGCAACAUCUCUCUUCGUUUCGGAGAUCACCAUCCCCUUGGACUACUCCGAUCUGCUGAACAAACUGUGCAUUGUUCUGCCUCUUGCAAACGCACUUGCUAGAUUGCGCCUCCACGUCAAUACAGCCACCGCUGCACCCCUCAAGGCCUAGCAACAUGCUGAACUCGUUGCACACUUUAGCCUCCUCCGGACGUAUCCUUCGCAUGCUGAAGAGAAAGUUUCAAUGCUCCAUGGCGCCGAGUCUCGACCGCCUUGGGAUGGCCACGAACAUUCCAUCGUCCGCAUACAAGCCCAUGCAUGAGUACCGAAUUCUUCGAGUUAGCAAUUCCCCUCACCUCUGUGAGCUUUGCACAACUCUUUCGGUCGCUGAGCAACUCAUUCCACUUUGCAUGGUCUCGACCUUUGCCAAGCGCCUCGCUUGCCUUGAGCACCAUCAAGUAAAGUUGUCAACGUUGAGCCGUAGCUCAAACUCAGCCAUCCCAACCUUUGUGCGCUCCGCAUUCUUCCAAGCUUGCCUGUUCUCGUGGUGCCUCUUGCGCGAAGGGUUGGCCAUUCCUCUGAAUGCCAAUGUUAGAUGCCCGCUCCUCUGAGCGACUCUUUUCCCUACAUCUCCAUGCCCGUUUUCCCUCAAACGGUCGCGCGUUGCUGACUGCCCUCAACGCAGCCCCGCUAGGUCCCCCACGUUUGCAUGUCAAGUGUUUCUAUGAGUGCUUGUCCCGCUCUGAUACCAUAUGACACGGACUUAGCUGGUUUUACCUAAGUCGUGCGGCACCCUCGCGCGUCCGUCCGCAAAGGUCAGCCUCCCCGAAGCCUCCCAUUGUCCCUUAGGACCAAUCAAAGAGAGAACGGGUUAAAAAGAACGCCUCAAUCGGGAUCCACAAGCAGACAUGUCCGAAAAACACUUCAUAGACAAUGCAAAUUACAAACAGACUUUACAAGCUCUGAACAGUGGCACAACAAAGGGUAAAAUGGUCCAUUACAGACCGAGAAGCUCUCGCACGUGUCCACAUGACACAACCUUUAUUUACAAGCCUAAAGAGGCCACCAACCCAACUAAAAUGAGAUUAUUAAGCCUUCGGCCGCCCCUUUACAUUCUGUACAGGGUAUGAACAUGCCAACAGACACAGACAGAUAUAAGCAUUACAUCAAACACCUUGUUUAGAAGUUUGUCCGUGACAGAACGGUAGUUGUCUUCCCCUACUGCCGCGACAUGUCUCUGCCCUCAUGUUUUAUGCAGCUUGAAACAUACCAUCCACCACAUGAACGGUAGUUGUCUUCCCCUACGGUAGUUUAGGACAAGUUUGUUAUGUUACGGGCAUGUUUUAUGCAGCUUGAAACAUACCAUCCACCACAUGAUAAGUAAAUCCAUGAUAGAUGCUUUGAAUUUUGGAAGUCACCUACAAGUUUCUUGAAUAGAUAUAUAUUUUUAAAAUUGGUACUCUCAGCAUAGGUGUUUUUGGAAGAGAACUGAUACAUGAUGCAAGGUAUCUUUCUUCAUCAGUGCUAUGACAUCUAGGAUGCAUUUUGUCAAGUAUUAUACCUCGAUUAUGGUGAUGCAUAUUGUAAAGUUUGUGGCCAUUCUUUGUCUUUGAUUUAUAAUGCCUAGAGCUAAUGAGUUGGUUUUUAUAGGUUGGAAAUUUUAGGGUUGAACCACCAGGGUUGUUUCGAGGCUGAGGAGAGCAUCCAAAGGUGGAAAGAAGUAAAACAUGAUAACACUGUCACAUGGUUGGCUUUUUGGAAUGAUCCCAUAAAUCCAAAAGAGUUCAAGUAUGUCUUUUUGGCAGCCAGCAGUUCAUUAAAAGGACAAAGCGACAAAGAGAAGUAUGAGAAAGCGAGGCUGUUGAAGAAUUAUAUACACAAUAUUCGUGCGAAUUAUACAAGGGACUUUACCAGUAAAGAUCCAACAAAGCGGCAAAUAGCAGUAGCAACCUACCUUAUUGAUAAGCUAGCACUUAGGGCUGGCAAUGAAAAGGUAAAUCAGUAUCAUUUCGACAGUUUGAUCCUCGUUUAUUCUGCAUUGUUGUAUGUUUGAGUUUUGCUAGUGUCUAAAUUUCCAAUUCUUCUAACCCUUUCAACUAUCUGGUCAACUCAUAUUUGAUCUUGAAAACUAGACCAGACCAUAUCAACCUUUCCCCCCAAACACAUGCAUGUUAAUUGCAAGAUGUUCUUUUUACAAGUUUUGUUGGUAACCUAGAUGGAUUAGCUAUGUGAUAUCCGGAAAGAACAGGCUGAUGAUUGAAUGGAUGAUGAAGCUUGUAAAUUGUCUCCAACUUACACAUUAUGAAAUGUGGUUGCGACAUAUAAACAUGAGCUUAUGUUGAGGUGUUCCUAUUUGUUGAUACCUCAGUUUAUUGAGAACUUAUAAGUUGCAGUUUGACUUAGUAUAUUAUACUUUGUUAGCAAAACUUUGAUCUAAUUCUAUCCUACUACUUUUGGAUGGCGUCA